CACGAAAGAUCGUCUAUUGUCUGAAGUUGGAACCUUAUACAGUCUAUGGUCGGUACACAGAGGAUUCCUGAAGUCUCGUUACUUCUGUGUUAUGAUCUCGCCGCCGGAGGUAUCGCGAGAAUUGUGUAGAGCGCCAUUUAAAACACCUAAAGUCGUCGUAAGGGCAGCGACUGCGACCCGUUAACCGGACAGAGCGACUCACGGUCCCUCGGUGACCCACCCCCCACCAGCAUGGCGGAGGAGCUGGACGUGGAGGCGAUGCUGGAGGCUCCCUACAGGAAGGAGGACUCCAGGAACCAGAGCCCCAACGGAGAGGAGGAGCGCCCCAAGAGGUAAACUAACUAACUAACUAACUAACUACCUACCUACCUAACUAACUAAC